rnacentral:rRNA from 1 species
UUUUAUGAGAGUUUGAUCCUGGCUCAGGACGAACGCUGGCGGCGUGCCUAAUACAUGCAAGUCGAACGCUUCUUUUUCCACCGGAGCUUGCUCCACCGGAAAAAGAGGAGUGGCGAACGGGUGAGUAACACGUGGGUAACCUGCCCAUCAGAAGGGGAUAACACUUGGAAACAGGUGCUAAUACCGUAUAACAAUCAAAACCGCAUGGUUUUGAUUUGAAAGGCGCUUUCGGGUGUCGCUGAUGGAUGGACCCGCGGUGCAUUAGCUAGUUGGUGAGGUAACGGCUCACCAAGGCCACGAUGCAUAGCCGACCUGAGAGGGUGAUCGGCCACAUUGGGACUGAGACACGGCCCAAACUCCUACGGGAGGCAGCAGUAGGGAAUCUUCGGCAAUGGACGAAAGUCUGACCGAGCAACGCCGCGUGAGUGAAGAAGGUUUUCGGAUCGUAAAACUCUGUUGUUAGAGAAGAACAAGGAUGAGAGUAACUGUUCAUCCCUUGACGGUAUCUAACCAGAAAGCCACGGCUAACUACGUGCCAGCAGCCGCGGUAAUACGUAGGUGGCAAGCGUUGUCCGGAUUUAUUGGGCGUAAAGCGAGCGCAGGCGGUUUCUUAAGUCUGAUGUGAAAGCCCCCGGCUCAACCGGGGAGGGUCAUUGGAAACUGGGAGACUUGAGUGCAGAAGAGGAGAGUGGAAUUCCAUGUGUAGCGGUGAAAUGCGUAGAUAUAUGGAGGAACACCAGUGGCGAAGGCGGCUCUCUGGUCUGUAACUGACGCUGAGGCUCGAAAGCGUGGGGAGCAAACAGGAUUAGAUACCCUGGUAGUCCACGCCGUAAACGAUGAGUGCUAAGUGUUGGAGGGUUUCCGCCCUUCAGUGCUGCAGCUAAAGACUGCCGGUGACAAACCGGAGGAAGGUGGGGAUGACGUCAAAUCAUCAUGCCCCUUAUGACCUGGGCUACACACGUGCUACAAUGGGAAGUACAACGAGUCGCGAAGUCGCGAGGCUAAGCUAAUCUCUUAAAGCUUCUCUCAGUUCGGAUUGCAGGCUGCAACUCGCCUGCAUGAAGCCGGAAUCGCUAGUAAUCGCGGAUCAGCACGCCGCGGUGAAUACGUUCCCGGGCCUUGUACACACCGCCCGUCACACCACGAGAGUUUGUAACACCCGAAGUCGGUGAGGUAACCUUUUGGAGCCAGCCGCCUAAGGUGGGAUAGAUGAUUGGGGUGAAGUCGUAACAAGGUAGCCGUAUCGGAAGGUGCGGCUGGAUCACCUCCUUUCUAAGGAA